CGUUGGAGCGCGGGGAGCUGGAGCAGCGGGACCCCGCAUUCCUCGGAGCUGGGAAAUAUCCUGGAUCUUCUUUUGUCUACUCGCCACUGAGGUGUUGGCAGGAAAUUGCCUGAAAAAGCAGCAACAACAAAGUGCUCGUGCUUUCCCAUCAGCAUCUGGUUCUGAGUCUCCGAGGCGAAGGCGGCGUGUGGGAGCAGUCGAAGUUG